CAAACCUGGAACCAAACGCGGCAGCUGAAGUUCUCAGGGACACAUUUGCUUCUCCCCCUGAAGAACCAGUUACAAAGCAUGAAUUCCUCUCUGAGGUCCCAUCAGAACAAAGAAACAGGCUGUACAAGAAGCAUGAUGCCAGCAUCUGCUUCUGGUGACGACCUCAAGAAGUUUACAAUUGGCCGGGUGCGGAGGCUCAUGCCUGUAAUCAGCACUUUGGGAGGCAGAGAUGGAUGGAUCAUUUGAGAUUCAAGAAAAUUAUUUUUUCUUUUGAGCUGUUCAUAGCUUACAGUAAUUGGAUAAAUUACACUUUUGUGAGAACAAUUGAAACACUAACUUUUCUGUCUACCUGAUGUCUCCAGAAUUUGGAAAGUAUUUAAACACCUUUUAUUAAAAAUCUGUUUGCCUGCUUCAUAUAUAGAGUCCUAACCCAUCUGUAAUGCCACCUCCUGGAAUGGGACAUAGCUGUUUAACUGAACUGAUCUAUUCUCGGGACUAAGCGACUGAUAAAAAAGAUAUAAAAUGAUAUAUUCAAAUUU